AGCCUUGAGGUGUCUUACAUAUCAGAUUGCAAACCUGAAGAAGUAGGCUAGUUACCUACCGGGGCUU
rnacentral:tRNA from 1 species